rnacentral:sRNA from 1 species
UUCUGGAAGGGCUGCGCCCGGCGGAUAUCGACCUCCCAGAGAUCGAAGGGCGGCUCGCC